UACGUAGGGGGGCAAGCGUUGUCCGGAUUUAUUGGGCGUAAAGAGCGUGUAGGCGGCCUGAAAGGUCAGCUGUGAAAACUCGAGGCUCAACCUCGAGACGUCGGUUGAAACCAUCUGGCUAGAGUCCGGAAGAGGAGAGUGGAAUUCCCGGUGUAGCGGUGAAAUGCGCAGAUAUCGGGAAGAACACCCGUGGCGAAGGCGGCUCUCUGGGACGGUACUGACGCUGAGACGGCGAAAGCGUGGGGAGCGAAUGGG
rnacentral:rRNA from 1 species